rnacentral:lncRNA from 13 species
AGCAGGACAAUGCACCAAGGAAAUUGAACUACUAUGUGUGAAUUCUUUCUCCUGGGACUCAUGGUGAGGUCUAAAGAGCAGCAGUUUAUCUUCACGCUGUUUCUAUGCACGUAUCUGGUGACUAUGAAGAGAAUGAUAGCAGUGAAAUGUGAAGAAGAAGCAGGAAAGUCUUUGGAUUUGACUACAACUGAGAGGAUCCUCAAGAAAGUGACAAUGACAAACAUGUGGGAGACAAGGGGGACCAGUGGAGAGCGCAUCUAGAUGAAGCACGCAAUGAAAAAGAACAAAGAAUUCAUUGUGAAGAUGUCUGAGCAGGAGAGGACCAAGAGUGGGAAAUUGUCACCAAAAACACUGCUGCUGAUGUGGACUUACACAAGUCAAAUAUAAAGACUGAACCUCCUAAAAACAUAGUAUGAAUAACUCCAUGUCUGUAACAUGAAGUCACUAGUCGGAUACAAAAAAAACGUGGGACAUAGUGACAGAAUAGAGCAUGGGUUGUCUGAUUGGCAUAUAAAUGUCCUUGCCCAGGGAGGAUAGAAGUUUGCAUUCAGUAGUCACAAAGAACAAAAAUACCAGCAUUUGUAUCACACAAUAGAAGAAGGGAAUUGUUUCUGUCAAAAAUUUCAGGAGUGCCUUGGAGACUGUGACUGGGAACAGACAGAAAUCUCUGAAGAUAAUUUUUCAGCCCUCACCCCCUCAACAGCCUCCCUCAUUUUGGAGUCACCAAUGUGUAUUAUUUCCAUUUAUAUGUCCAUGUGAACUCAUUGCUUAGCUCCUUGAAUCCAUAAUAGAAAAUAUAUUUUGAUACAUAAUAUAAUUACAAAAAACUAAAAAAUAAAUCUAUGAAGGAUAAACUUUAGAGGAAGAAG